UGCAAGUCGAACGGAAAGGCCCUGCUUUUGUGGGGUGCUCGAGUGGCGAACGGGCUGAGUAACACGUGAGUAACCUGCCCUUGACUUUGGGAUAACUUCAGGAAACUGGGGCUAAUACCGGAUAGGAGCUCCUGCUGCAUGGUGGGGGUUGGAAAGUUUCGGCGGUUGGGGAUGGACUCACGGCCUAUCAGCUUGUUGGUGGGGUAAUGGCUCACCAAGGCGACGACGGGUAGCCGGCCUGAGAGGGUGACCGGCCACACUGGGACUGAGACACGGCCCGGACUCCUACGGGAGGCAGCAGUGGGGAAUAUUGCACAAUGGGCGAAAGCCUGAUGCAGCGACGCCGCGUGAGGGAUGACGGCCUUCGGGUUGUAAACCUCUUUCAGCAGGGAACAAGGCCAGGCUGUUGUCUGGUUGAGGGUACUUGCAGAAGAAGCGCCGGCUAACUACGUGCCAGCAGCCGCGGUAAU
rnacentral:rRNA from 1 species